AUUGAGCGCUGGCGGCAUGCCUUACACAUGCAAGUCGAACGGUAACAGAUCUUCGGAUGCUGACGAGUGGCGAACGGGAGAGUAAUACAUCGGAACGUGCCUAGUAGUGGGGGAUAACUACUCGAAAGAGUGGCUAAUACCGCAUGAGAUCUACGGAUGAAAGCAGGGGAUUGCAAGACCUUGUGCUACUAGAGCGGCCGAUGGCAGAUUAGGUAGUUGGUGGGAUAAAAGCUUACCAAGCCGACGAUCUGUAGCUGGUCUGAGAGGACGAUCAGCCACACUGGGACUGAGACACGGCCCAGACUCCUACGGGAGGCAGCAGUGGGGAAUUUUGGACAAUGGGCGCAAGCCUGAUCCAGCAAUGCCGCGUGCAGGAUGAAGGCCUUCGGGUUGUAAACUGCUUUUGUACGGAACGAAAAGCCCUGGGUUAAUACCCUGGGGUCAUGACGGUACCGUAAGAAUAAGCACCGGCUAACUACGUGCCAGCCGCCGCCGUAAUAC
rnacentral:rRNA from 1 species